CCUACGGGAGGCAGCAGUGGGGAAUAUUGGGCAAUGGGCGCAAGCCUGACCCAGCAACGCCGCGUGAAGGAAGAAGGCUUUCGGGUUGUAAACUUCUUUUCUCAGGGACGAAGAAAGUGACGGUACCUGAGGAAUAAGCCACGGCUAACUACGUGCCAGCAGCCGCGGUAAUACGUAGGUGGCAAGCGUUAUCCGGAUUUACUGGGUGUAAAGGGCGUGUAGGCGGGAAAGCAAGUCAGAUGUGAAAACCAUGGGCUCAACCUGUGGCCUGCAUUUGAAACUGUUUUUCUUGAGUACUGGGGAGGCAGACGGAAUUCCUCGUGUAGCGGUGAAAUGCGUAGAUAUGAGGAGGAACACCAGUGGCGAAGGCGGUCUGCUGGACAGCAACUGACGCUGAGGCGCGAAAGCGUGGGGAGCAAACAGGAUUAGAUACCCUGGUAGUC
rnacentral:rRNA from 1 species